rnacentral:rRNA from 1 species
AUGGCGGCCAGAGACAGGAAAAGGAAGUAUGAAAUUAUGGAUCGAUUCGAAGGACAAAAAACACAAUCAAAACCAGCUUUUAAAUUUUUUCUUUGCCCCAGAGUGGUGUCUUGUAAUAGAUUGCUUCCCUUUUUGGUCACAAAUGUCGCCCACAACGAUGAAUUUGAGAUUUAUGUGAACUAUCCAUUUAACAUUUCAGAUCUUCUGAAUGUAUAUAACAAGAGAAAAAACAGGUUAAACUCAUGUAAGGUACUAUAUCUACCUAACCAGAUGCAUGGCAUUUCUCUAUGCAAAAGAUACCCACUGCACAAUACAGAAACCGGCAAAAAAAUGCUAGUAUCAGAUUCGUCACCCGUUCACGACACCGAGAAAAUACAAGGUAGAUUGCAGUGA